UGGAGGCAGCAGUAAGGAAUUUUGCGCAAUGGGGGAAACCCUGAGGCAGCGACGCCGCGUGGAGGAUGAAGUAUCUCGGUAUGUAAACUCCUGUCAGUGGGGAUGAUGAUGACAGUACCCACAGAGGAAGCACCGGCUAACUCCGUGCCAGCAGCCGCGGUAAGACGGAGGGUGCAAGCGUUGUUCGGAAUUACUGGGCGUAAAGCGUACGUAGGCGGUAGAUUAAGUCGAAUGUUAAAGCCUGAGGCUCAACCUCAGGGAUGCAUUCGAUACUGGUUUACUAGAGGGUGAUAGAGGAAAGCGGAAUUCCGAGUGUAGCGGUGAAAUGCGUAGAUAUUCGGAGGAACAUCAGUAGCGAAGGCGGCUUUCUGGGUCACACCUGACGCUGAGGUACGAAAGCGUGGGGAGCAAACGGGAUUAGAAACCCGAGUAGUCCC
rnacentral:rRNA from 1 species